UAAAAUAAACACAUGUUCGCAGUUUGAAUAGGACUUGUUCUAUUAGACUGAGGAAAGUCCGGACACCGUAGAGAACCAUAGCGGGUAACGCCCGUCCAGUUUUAGGUAACUGAGGACUAGUGUCACAGAAACCAAGUACGUUUUUAGAUUUAUCUAAAAAGCUGUAGUGAAAAGGAUAAACUCUAUGGGGUGCAAAGCCAAAUAGGUCAUGCUGAUGGCAACAUCUUAGUCGUCUCGGCUAAAAGGUUUGGGAAACCAAACAUGGCAUGAUGGGUAGGCUGCAUGAGUAAACCGGCAACGGUUAACCUAGAUGAAUGAACAUGACGAUUUUUCGACAGAAUCCGGCUUAUCGUUUAUUUCCUAAU
rnacentral:RNase_P_RNA from 2 species